rnacentral:rRNA from 1 species
GAUGAACGCUGGCGGCGUGCCUAAUACAUGCAAGUCGAGCGAACGGACGAGAAGCUUGCUUUUCUGAUGUUAGCGGCGGACGGGUGAGUAACACGUGGAUAACCUACCUAUAAGACUGGGAUAACUUCGGGAAACCGGAGCUAAUACCGGAUAAUAUUUUGACCCGCAUGGUUCAAAAGUGAAAGACGGUCUUGCUGUCACUUAUAGAUGGAUCCGCGCUGCAUUAGCUAGUUGGUAAGGUAACGGCUUACCAAGGCAACGAUGCAUAGCCGACCUGAGAGGGUGAUCGGCCACACUGGAACUGAGACACGGUCCAGACUCCUACGGGAGGCAGCAGUAGGGAAUCUUCCGCAAUGGGCGAAAGCCUGACGGAGCAACGCCGCGUGAGUGAUGAAGGUCUUCGGAUCGUAAAACUCUGUUAUUAGGGAAGAACAUAUGUGUAAGUAACUGUGCACAUCUUGACGGUACCUAAUCAGAGAGCCAGGGCUAACUACGUG